CCUACGGGAGGCAGCAGUGAGGAAUAUUGGUCAAUGGGCGCGAGCCUGAACCAGCCAAGUAGCGUGAAGGUUAACUGCCCUACGGGUUGUAAACUUUUUUUAUAAAGGAAUAAAGUGAUCCCCGUGUGCCUUUUUGUAUUUACUUUAUGAAUAAGGUUCGGCUAACUCAGUGCCACCAGCCGCGGUAAUACGGAGGAUCCGAGCGUUUUCCGGAUUUAUUGGGUUUAAAGGGACCGUAGAUGGGUUGUUAAGUCAGUUGUGAACGUUUGCGGAUCAACCGUAAAAUUGCAAUUGAUACUGGCAGUCUGGAGUGCAGUUGAGGUAGGCGGAAUUCGUGGUGUAGCGGUGAAAUGCUUAGAUAUCACGAAGAACUCCGAUUGCGAAGGCAGCUUACUAAACUGCCACUGACAUUGAUGCUCGAAAGUGUGGGUAUCAAACAGGAUUAGAUACCCUUGUAGUC
rnacentral:rRNA from 1 species